rnacentral:tRNA from 1 species
GGGCGGUUAGCUCAGCGGUAGAGCACUUGCUCGACACGCAAGGGGUCACUGGUUCAAUCCCGGUACCGCCCACCA